GUUGCUCAGCUUAGCUAGGCUAUCCGGUGCGGUACAUCACCGGAAGACGGCACAAGCAACUUCUUUGGCUUGUUGACACGGCGGAGAAGGCUAUGUACGAGGGUGAAGCAACGAGGUGAUGUCGACACACAGCGGCGGCUUAGCUGAUGAAUGGAGAUCUUGGAGAGCAGGGCAAUAUUGCUCAACACUUUGACAACGACAAAAGAAACGCAUCCGUGACAUGGAGUAUUGC
rnacentral:lncRNA from 1 species